rnacentral:misc_RNA from 1 species
ACUAUGUUAAUGACCGUUGAGGCUUCGUGUGAAUCCAUGUACAUGUUGCCGGUAGGUGAAUGGCUCCAUAUCCAGAAGUUUUAUCUUUCUUUUCGUUAUAGAAGGGACCUCUAUCAGUCGCUACUGAUUAUCUAUAUGGACACAGUGUGUUUGUUUUUGAUGACGAAUUUAAGAACUGAACUAGACUCGGUUCUCUGGUUGUUUGCAGUCUGUGGACGUGUGAUUCUAACUGUAGUGUUUUGUUGAUAACGCUGCCCUGUGUAUUAUAAAUGGAGCAUCAAACCCCGCACUGUCACUCAGGGAUCUAUCUUCGUUGUCAUACGUCCAUACCGCACCCAUGUGAGAAGAUUUCGAUACAAGGGAUAGGCUUAUUUAUGUUUUGGUAGUUCCAUCAAGAGAGCACACAGUAUGAGUGAACUGGGUGCCAAAAAGCAGACGAAAAAGACGUCACGUGGUCGUUUCGCAGAUAAAAAUGUCGCCAAGUCAAAGAGUCUCCAGACCCUGGAAACAAACAUAGAUGACGUGUUUACAGCGAAAGGCGAGGGAAACCUCGCGCGUGUACCUUCUGUUCAUGAACUACGGGUGUCGAAAUCUCUACAAAAACUCAAUGUGCCGGACUGGUUUAAGAAUUCUAGUUUUUCGCGUAGUGGAAGUACAUUUAGUUUAUAUGGAUCCCAACAAAGACGGGACUCUACUUCUACCAUGUCAUCAAUAGGCUACCCUCCCAGCAUCUCCUCGUCCGCUUGCCAGUCUCCUUUACAACAAAACCCUGUCAUCAUAAGAACUCGAGUAACGCCCCCUAGUGCCAAAUUCUUCCGCGGUCCUAAGCUACCAAUGACUCCCGAAAAAGCCCCUAUAUCUCCAGCUAGUAUUUCUUUACCAAGUGACAAAUUUAGAAACAAAGAGAAACCCAAAGAGCUAAUGCCCAUACCUAUAGUGCCUUUCUCACAGUUACGACUUAUGUUUGAAAAGAGCACGGACUCAAGGGCAGCCGACCCUGCUCCGGUGAAACCUUCUGUCAGUGCCCCUGUUAACGCCCCCUUCUGCAACUUCACCUACUAGGCCUAAACAUAUCCCAGUAACAGAGACAAAGGUACCGCCAUCUAUACUAAAAAAGACAACGCCGAUCUCGCCGACGAUUGAAGACAGGUCUCCAAUGCAGCUUACAGAACAUUUCUCAAACGGCGAGCUCAACCAUGAACCAUAUAAACAACGCAAGCCUCCUGGGGCGGACCAGGCUGUCCCCAAACCGCAGACCGUCGACAAAGAAAGAAUCCAGAAGGAGGAAGUUACGCCACAGAGGGAGAUCCCGGACGGUUCGAUUCCUCGUGGUGUGCAGCCAAAGAACGCUAGCAACAAGCCUGCGAUGGUCGCCCACCCCACUGCCUGCGCCUAGACAACCCAAACCAACUGUAGCUGAGUCCGCCCAGAGUAGAAAAGAGACUACAGUUUGAAACUGGUGGAUCAUAUAGUUGUGUUUCGCAAAGCAAUGUUUACUUGUGUACCAUUGCUAGUUUACCGACAUCGGGCCAUAAAUCGGAUCUGACUGCGACUCAGAGGACAUAGAUCUACAUCCGUGUUCAUGUUUUGUGCAGGGUUUCUAUGAACAUUGUGCACUGGAUUUGUUCAAAUACUACACAACACAUGUUGUUCAUGACUCACUCCAAAUGGAAACAAAAGGAGGGUUUUCCUCCUCUCCUAGUCCUUGUGUCAGACGUUUAUGGUGUUAUCCCAUUUGAAAGGAAACUCCCUUUUGUGUUUUACCAGAUUUGUUGUCUUUUUACGUUUUCUUUUUGUGGAAUCUGUUCUGUGUGCUGACCUAGAUUUAAUCGUAUCAUUCUGCCUUUCUCGCUGGAUCUUUAAUUUGUUCAAAAGAAAUGUUUUGACUCUGACACAAAGACCGAUUAUUAUCCUAUUUUGUUCAGAAGAAUUCGGAAUUUACUCCAUUUAGUUGGGAUAGAAAAAAAUAUUGAUAUCAAGGUUGGAUUGCCUAUUUAAAAUACUUUUGGAUAAUCUGUCGAAUAAAUUGGUUGAAAGGUUGAAACAAUUUUAGCAAGGUUUUUUUUUUUGCCAUAUUGUACUAUUUAUUACAUUUUACAAAACAUAUCUGUCCAAUUAUCUGCUAUGUUUAUGCUUGGCGGAAAUUUUAUUUGAAGACACAUCUGUUGCUUUUAUCAGCUUGUGACGGUAUACAGUUUUGUUACCUGUAAUAAGAUGGCUACCUGAGGAUGGGGAUGGCUCCCAGGUGUACCAUUGUGUCUACCUGUGAAACGAAGCCUCAGCCUCAGUCAGCUGAUUAAUAAAAAAAUCCCCAGGUCGGUCUCCUUUGGCUGGAACAAGAUUAUUUUCUUUUGAUUAAUGGCGUUUGAAAUUGCUUUUCCUUGGCCGCUCGCUUUUUUUUUCUUUUCUGUAUUGUGGCAGACAACAAUUUUGUGAAAAUAGCUGAUAUACGAGGCACUACAAGAUAGGUAUUUGAUGUUGGCUUGUAUACUGCACAGCUUUUGACAUUGUGAAAAGGGAAUUAGUUUAAGGGGGUUAAAAAGGGGGGUUUAUUUUCACAUUUAGCCCUGUACAGAAGAGGCAGCCCUAGUUUCGCGUCGAUCUGUUUUUUAUGGACGUAUGUGGCCCCGGGGGGUUAUGGUGUCUGGCGCUCACACUCUCCGUCAUUGACCACGCCAGAUCAUAAGACGGGGAAACUGGUUAUGAAAAGAUACACAAUGAAUAUAUAUAUUUAUUGUCAACUGUUGUUUUACAUGUUUGUUUGUUUGUUUUAAAUGUGUGAAAGAGAGAGGAAGAGGAUGGUUUUGAAUGUCUCGGAAUUCUGUUCAUUUUAUUGAUUGUGAAAACACUGGCAUUGAGAAGGGCAAUCGAUCCAAUAUAGCAAGUAUUUUACGAUAUUUUAUGAAUUGUACAUUAUAAAAUUGUAACUUUCUAAACUUUUUUAUUUAACGAUAUUGAAUUUUACCAAAAAGUUAUGUAAAUUUCACACAUUGUUAAGUUUUAUAACUGAACAAAACUUAAUAAAAAAGAUUGUUU